AUUUAUUAGUUUUAACCGAAUUACUGCGCAAGCAGUAAGGUGAAUCUAGAUAACUUUGCUGAUCGCAUGGCUUUGCCAGCGACGUUUCAAUUGAGUUUCUGCCCUAUCAAUUUGUUGGUAAGGUAUUGGCUUACCAAGGUUGUAACGGGUAACGGGGAAUCAGGGUUCGAUUCCGGAGAGGGAGCUUGAGAAUCGGCUACCACAUCCAAGGAAGGCAGCAGGCGCGCAAAUUACCAAAUCUAGACAGUAGGAGGUGGUGAAGAGAAGUACUAAGUGGUGGUUAUUUACUACCAGCUUGGAAUGGACGUAAUUUAAGCAUUUCGAUGAGUAACUACUGGAGGGCAAGUCCUGGUGCCAGCAGCCGCGGUAAUUCCAGCUCCAGUGGCGUGAUUUAAAGUUGCUGCGUUUAAAACGCUCGUAGUUGGAUCAAGCGGUGUCAGUUUGUAGUCGAUGGCUGGCAUGUGGCUGUUUCAGUCGAUGCCAGUCAGAGAUUAAAACGCAAACUGGCACUAUUUAAUCGCAAGCAUGUUAGUUGACCUUGAAUGAGUUGAUUAUCAUGUUUUGCAGAGUUGUGCCUUGAAUAAAACAGAGUGCUCAAAGCAGGCGAACGCUUGAAUGUUGUAGCAUGGAACGAACAAACGUGUCUUUGCACGUGUCGUGCGAAGUGGAGGUGCUUCUGGCGUGUCCACUUUGCUGACGUGUGCAUCACCCGCCAAAGUACGAUUGUUGGUUAUCGUAUUAAGGUGAUGAUUAAAAAGAGCGGGC
rnacentral:rRNA from 1 species